rnacentral:rRNA from 1 species
UGGGGAAUAUUGGACAAUGGGCGAAAGCCUGAUCCAGCCAUGCCGCGUGCAGGAUGAAGGCCUUCGGGUUGUAAACCACUUUUGUCAGGGAAGAAACGGCCUGAUCUAAUACAUUGGGUUAAUGACGGUACCUGAAGAAUAAGCACCGGCUAACUACGUGCCAGCAGCCGCGGUAAUACGUAGGGUGCGAGCGUUAAUCGGAAUUACUGGGCGUAAAGCGUGCGCAGGCGGCUUUGCAAGACAGAUGUGAAAUCCCCGGGCUCAACCUGGGAACUGCAUUUGUGACUGCAAGGCUAGAGUACGGUAGAGGGGGAUGGAAUUCCGCGUGUAGCAGUGAAAUGCGUAGAUAUGCGGAGGAACACCGAUGGCGAAGGCAAUCCCCUGGACCUGUACUGACGCUCAUGCACGAAAGCGUGGGGAGCAAACAGGAUUAGAUACCCACGUAGUCCCUGAGCGGGCUGGCAAGGCGCAU